rnacentral:rRNA from 1 species
GACGAACGCUGGCGGCGUGCUUAACACAUGCAAGUCGAACGAUGAACCGGGUGCUUGCACUUGGGGAUUAGUGGCGAACGGGUGAGUAACACGUGAGUAACCUGCCCUGGACUCUGGGAUAACCCCGAGAAAUCGGAGCUAAUACCGGAUAGGACCUUCCCCCGCAUGGGGGUUGGUGGAAAGUUUUUCGGGUUGGGAUGGACUCGCGGCCUAUCAGCUUGUUGGUGAGGUAAUGGCUCACCAAGGCGUCGACGGGUAGUCGGCCUGAGAGGGUGACCGGCCACACUGGGACUGAGACACGGCCCAGACUCCUACGGGAGGCAGCAGUGGGGAAUAUUGCACAAUGGGCGCAAGCCUGAUGCAGCAACGCCGCGUGCGGGAUGACGGCCUUCGGGUUGUAAACCGCUUUUAGUAAGGAAGAAGGGGCUUCGGCCUUGACGGUACUUGCAGAAAAAGGACCGGCUAACUACGUGCCAGCCGCCGCCGUAA